GAUCUCUAAUCUGGAAUUUUCAACAAUGGGGCUGGUGGGUCAGGGUGCACCAGAUCUCAGGAGGUUUAUCCAGAAGACUUUCAAGUGCCCCAAGAGGCUGAGUGGUCCGCCAAGUGCCUGCAUGUGUGCAGUCAGGAAGCUUGAGUCUGGGUUCUGCCUGGGGCAAGUCACUACAACUCCCAGAGCCUCAUUUCUGCUAUUCGUAAAAUGGAGAAGACACCUCCUAUGAUAUCAAGUCACUGACUUGUUCCCAGGUGCUAAAAAAUGAAAUUACAUUGCUUAGCCUUGAAACUGUGCAACCUUUCAACUGCUGAUGAAAACAACCUCAGCAAGAUGAAAAUUUCUCCAUUUUCCUGAAACUAUUCUGCAUCAUAAAAUUCAUUGCAGGUGGUACCUUUAAAAAUAAAAGACUUGUAAAAAAUG
ensembl:lncRNA LINC02813 long intergenic non-protein coding RNA 2813